UGGAAGAAAAAAAAUCUAAAUCUUGAGCCUAUUAUUUGAUCCAGAGCAUUUUUUUUAAUUAAUUAAAAAGAAAAAAAGAGGAACAAAAAUACUCCCCACCUGUGAAUUUACGUAAGAAAGCCAACAAUGAUUUUUAAACCACUAUCAAACAUUUUGCUAGAUUCACUCUUACGUAGUACUGUUACAUCGUUCAUCUCAAUUUAUUUUGAAAGUUCUCACAUCUUUAUUUUUAUUUAAGCAUGAAACUUGGCAAGAAAGGUAUUGGAAAAGACGAUGAACUUGUAGAAUGGUUCGGCUUAUCAAGGAGUUAUAUGGAAACCAAAUCAGGGAGUUGUAUCAUAGCCUUCCAUUCCAUAUGAUUGAGUUUGUGGUCGAUGAUUCUGACUGCACGGUGACUGUCAGUCUGAGAUAUGCUGAUCUCAUCUACGUGCUGCCAACGAAAAUCAGCGUGCUUGCAUGGCCAAUGCCUCAGAGAU